AAUCGACAGUCCACGUCAAAAUAACCUUUAUUAGAACAAACAGCCUGUAUACUGCCGUCGUAAGUAAGCCUUUCAAAGAAGCAUACAGUAAACUAUUCAGUCAUACGUCAGGUCAAAGUGCAGCCAAUAUAAAGGAGAGAGUGGGUUACAACUUAAAUACAAAUACGGAACUAUAACCUAAUCUGUAGUGAAGGUGGACUUAAAUGUAACAUAUCAAAAUUACAUAAGUGAAUUUGAAUCUAAGACAUGCACACAUCGCCCGUCACUCCCUCUUUAAGGGGGGAUAAGUCGUAACAAAGUAGGUGUAGCGGAAGCUGCACCUGUCGAAGUAUAGCAUAUAUAAUGCCUUUUACUUACAAUAAAAAUAAAGCUAUCGCUUACUUCGCGCUUAUUUGCCCCUAAAAAUAUCAAAUCAAUAUAAAUAUAAAGUCACUAAUAUCAACUAACUAAUACAUGAGUACAGCAAUGGAACUAAAAACUUAAGUAGUGACACCACGUACCUUUAGCAUAAUGGUUUUACAAGAGACAAAUUUAUAUAACACCCCGAAUCCUACGCGAUCUGUUUAUAAUCUGUUAAGAACUAAUCAAUUAGUGUUUCACCACUCUAGAUAGAACUAUAAACAGAGGCUACAUACCACCCGCGCUAGAAUAUAUCUGGUUCUUGAAACUAUUACUAUUAACACAUGCAACUAUGCAGUGUAAGUUAGUAGGGGAUAAGCCCUACUAAUUAACGCACCAUACAAUUUAAUAAAUCACUAGGCCUAAAAACAGCCACAUAAAUUUCUUCAUCGUAUACAAAAAUAAAUAAAUAGUUAAAGUCAACAAAACAUCUAAGAAAUAAAUAAAACUAAACCAUAUAUUUUAUUAUGUAAAAACUAGUAUUAAUAAACAAAUAAAUAAAUAAAUAAAAAAAUAAAACAGUAUAACAAUAAUUAUGAAAAAGGAACUCGGCAAAAAUCAAUCUCGUCUGUUUAUCAAAAACAUUGCCCUAAGAAUAUAAAUUUGGGGUA
rnacentral:rRNA from 1 species